GAUGAACGCUGGCGGCGUGCCUAACACAUGCAAGUCGAGCGAGAAGUAAAGAAAUGAAGCUUCGGUAGAUUUUCAUUAUGGAAAGCGGCGGACGGGUGAGUAACGCGUAGGCAACCUGCCCUGUACAGGGGGAUAGCCACCCGAAAAGGUGAUUAAUACCCCAUGAUGCAAGAGAUACACAUGUAUCACUUGUCAAAGAUUUAUCGGUAUGGGAUGGGCCUGCGUCUGAUUAGCUAGUUGGUAGGGUAACGGCUUACCAAGGCAACGAUCAGUAGCCGACCUGAGAGGGUGAUCGGCCACAUUGGAACUGAGACACGGUCCAAACUCCUACGGGAGGCGGCAGUGGGGAAUAUUGCACAAUGGGCGAAAGCCUGAUGCAGCAACGCCGCGUGAAGGAAGAAGGCCUUCGGGUUGUAAACUUCU
rnacentral:rRNA from 1 species